GAGAGCGAGGAGGGGCCAAACAGCUCCUUUCAUAGCAAGUCAGGCAUACCUGGCAAUAGCCAGGUAACUGCUGGGCAGAGUCUAGAAGGAAUGCUAUGUAACAGGAGGGAGCGUGGGAAUUAGAAUACACGGCAGAGCUCACUCUUUUAGGAUAGGUGAGGCAGCCCUCUCCUAGUUAUGGUAAUGGCAUCAUCACUCGUCACUCGAGGUCACCUUCUCGCUUGAGGUUAUUCAUAUAACUUACAUCCUGAGCACAGGAAGAGCUGUAGGAAUGCCUGCUGCUGUCCAUCUCCUCAAACUCCCACCUCAUGGCUACGGGAGGCUGGCUGAAAAGAGCCUUCAUGGGAGCAGUCUUCCCCCGUACACACCCAUAGCUGUAACUUAAAACUCUGUGAUUUGUCUUCUACUUGGUCUCUAGGAAAUACAUCAACUUACAAAGUGUUUUCUGAGAAAUGGAGAACACAGCAGAAAGGUUAGUUUACUGCCGUGCUGGCCUCCAGACCCUCUCCAGCACUCACUUCCCACCCUGUCCUGGCUUGCAGCACUUGUGUCCCCCAAACAAGGCCAUGCAUAGCAGCAGCAUAAAGUGAUCCUGCUCAGGGGACCACACUGACUGUACUGCCAUGAUAGCCACCACCAUCAACAUGCCCAGUGAGGUCUCAGGGCCUGGCUACCUGGUCUGGUCCCUGUUUAGCACAUUCUUCAUGAAGCUCUGCUGCCCGGAUUCUGUGGCCUAUGCCUGAAGGUGAAUAUGGAGGAGGGAGGAAGAUCGAAAGAGCAGGAGUCUAAGAAAGUGAGUUUGAGCCUGAGGAUCCUGGCCGGAAUAGCACCUCGUGUGUGGGGGUGGGGGUGGGGGUGGGGGGUGUUUAUGGCUGAAUGACAGUCUAUUUGCCUUGUCUAUUGUAUGUACCAGGGAGUUGGGGGAUGAUGCCUUGGAGACUCUCCUAGGCAGACACACGGUGAUGUUGCCUGGAUAUCCUUGAGGUCAGAUUGCCGCACCCACCUACCCCAAACCUUACAGCCUAGAGGAAUUCUUACUGUCCAGCUCUUGAAAAGCCUUUUCACCCUGCAGGCUGAGCACAGUCUGAAAAAGUACCCAAGGGACUCCGAGGAAACAGAAACCCAACUGUAAGACACCAAGAUGCAGGGACUCCUGCACAGUCUGAGUGUGUGAAAGGGCCACAGGGUCCCUGGCCUAACUGAGGCUGCAGUAGGCAGUUAACAAUGGGAAACUGAGUUGGAACAUUCUCAGUUCACUGGCUCCUGGACCCUAUCUGUUUUCCUCCAGUCCAGGGACAGGAAAUGACUGGGGUUGAGUGGGAGGUUUCUGGCUCCCUGCUGUGGGCAGUGGUUAACAGCGUGCUGGGUGGGGGGGCCUCUUUUCAAAUAAUUGGCCUUUCCCAGAAAGGUAGAGCCGAGAGACCGACUGAUCAUUCCCUACUCCCAUUCUCCCGAAGCGCCCAACAAAAAUGCAGAUCUGAUACAGAGAGUCUCAGACCUAGGGUGGAUGACUGACUGCUUGACCUCAAAGUGGAAAGAACUCUGCUAUACUGACAGAUUUUGUCCGGAAUUCCGUGGUGGCCCUGGGUGAGGAUCCGGGUUCCCAGAACACUUGGACGAUAAGGUGGGAGUUGGACAUCCUCCCCCUUCCUCUGCCCACCCACCUCCUGCAGCCUUGCUUGGGUUUAUUUUGGUUCUGUGAGUUCGUUCCUGGGCUUAGGUGCAGCUGUAGGUGAAGGCAGAGAGUCAACAGGAAGGAGACACGGGUGUCCCCUGACGGCGGUUGGCAAUGUUUGGACAGGUCCUUUUCUAGAUCAGCGUCUUCACCCCAAAACCCCAAGUUUGCUGGAGUUUUCUGGAGGCUCCAGUGUUGGUACAAGGAUUCCAGUGCUGUACUCUAAGGAUAAAAUGUGUGAGUCCCGGAAGGCCACUAGAGAGUGAAUCAUCAGUUAAAACUCCUCCGUCGGGGUUCAGUCCCCACCUCCGAAAAAAAAAAAAAAAAAAACUCCUCCAUCAGGGUUGUGCUGGGGACAGUUUGAAACUUGGCGGACAGUACACAUAACACCAUUCCAGGAUCCAAUGGGAACCAGCCCACACAAGCUCCAGAUGGCGUCCUUGAGCCAAGACCAAAGCCCUCCUAUGCUCUGCCAUGAUUAUAGCAAGCAGCAGCUGACAUCCCAAAGUCAUCAUUAGUUGAACUUUUCAGAGUCCGAAGACGUCAAUCAUAGCAGGAGGUUAAGUGAGCCAGAGCCAAAGACACAAAUAAAACUGAAACAGUAGCAAGGGCUCUGGAAGCCUGGUCACAUGACCGUUGCCUGGAUGGUCCCACGUUUUUAAAGUCUCAUUUGAUACCACAGAGGGUGUAAUGUCUGGAUUCAGUCUCAGAGGAAGGCCAGGAUUUUUAUUUUAAACUCUGUGGUUUAGAUAUUUUACUCUUUUAUAUGCGGAAGAUGAGUGAAACUAUGUAAACGAUAAAGUGACCAGCCAAAAUGGAAAAGAAAGAAUAGAGGUAAAAUCGGGAGGCUCGAGCUCAUAGAUCUGAGAAGAUGCCCCUGGACUAGAACAAGGUUGGAACCAGCAGAAACUCACCUGACAUAAAGCUCAAGAAAUGACUCUGCUCAAGAUUGCACAGAUCUGGAUCAGAGUGCAAUGGAUGAAUGGAAAGGGAACACAGCCAUCACGCAUCUUACAGAGUGCCUGACCAUCUGACCAAGGGUCAGUGAUUAACAGCGUUACCUCCACUCUCUUUCCCCCCUUUUCGUUUUCUGGUUAGAGAUGAGAUGGAAGACAGACUUCUUAAUUUCGACGAUUUUAUCUUUAUGGGUGUUUUGCUUGUUUGUAUGUUUGUGGACCUCUUGUGUGUCUGUUGCCUGGGGAAGCCAUAAGAGGGUGCUGGGUCUACUGGAACUGGAGUUAUACAGGUGGUUAUGAGCUGCCCAGUGACUGCAGGGAAUAGAAUUUUGGUCUUCUGAAAGAGCAGCCAGUGCUCCUCACUGCUGACUCGUCUCUCUAACCCUGGAAAACGGACCCCAAUCCCCUGUCAUCUUGGUUUGUUGGCUCUCUGAACAAGCUGUUUUAAAAUUUGACUUUGAACUGGUCAGUGGUGAUGAACACCUUUAAGCAUAGCACUCAGGAGGCACAGGAAGGCAGAUCUCUGAAUUGGAGUCCAGCCUGGUCUACAGAGUGAGUCCCAGGACAGUCAGGGUUACACAGAGAUUUUAUAUAUAUCGUUGUCAUCAAUCGAGCCCCCACAGAAUUUUUCUAGUGACAAUUAUAUAUGUGCUAAAGCAGACUUGCCCACAGAACAGAUCAUCUGGACAGGUAACUGAUCCCCAUACAAAAAGAGAAGAAACCAAAAAUCUGGGGGAUAGGUAUCCACUCCAGGUAUCCAGUGACUGCCUCAAGUAAGAGCAUCUUCCCUCACGCAUUAAAGCAGAGAAACAGGUGAUCAGGGUGUCCCUUAAUCAUCCCCAGGAACUCGGAGUAAUGGCUGACUGAAUUCCUGAAACUACAUUCUCCCCAAAUGACUUCUUCAUCCUCACAGAAAACAGCUUUAGAGAGACCUCUGGGACUUGGGAGAUGUCUCAAAGGACAAAGUUCUUGCUGCUCAAGUCUGAGGAGUGUCGUUUGGCUUCUUGGCACUCAUGAAAGUGCUGGGCAGGUAAAACAAAUUCCCCGUUACCCCAGGAACCCAGAGGCAGAUAUGGGGGAUACUGGACCAAGAUGGCUUAGCUAGAUUAAUGAAAUCGGUGAGCUCUGAGUUCAAAUGAGAGACCCUGAUUAAACAUAUAUGGUGGAGAACAAUAGAGGAAAACACUCCAUGGCAACCUCUGAUCGCCACAUGCAUAUACAUAGAUGUGGAUGUACACAAGAACAUGCAUGCCCACACAAUGCAUACAUGUAAUCUGCAUGCAUGGUGCAAGUUUGCAAAAGAGGAGUCUACAGGCAUUAAAAUUUCUGGAACUCAGAUGUUGGAUAGUAAAAGGCAAAUGGGAUAAGGGGAUAUCUUUUUCAUCUGGGACUGGAGCCACCUAGAAGCAGACCAAAUGUCAAAUGAAGCGAAGAUGGUCUCAUUAAUGUCUCUUCGGCCAUGUAGAACAAGAAAUAUUUGCGCUUACCUAGGAAGCGCAAGGCCCUGGGUUCGGUCCCCAGCUCCGAAAAAAAAAAAAAAAAAAAAAAAAAAAGAGCAGCCAUUGCUGAGCGUCCUCAGACGCCUUUUCUGUUGACUGGAAACUCAUCUUGGGCUGGAAAGGUGGCUCAGCGGUUGAGAGCACUGACUGCUCUUCCAGAGGACCUGAGUUCAAAUCCCAGCAACCACAUGGUGGCUCACAACCAUCUGUAAUGGGAUCUGAUGCCUCCUUCUGGUGUGUCUGAAGGCAGCG